AAUGUGGCGCCGUGGGUGUGGUAAAACCGACGUCUAAAAAUAAAAGGGUCCGCUUUCGUUUUCCGCAGUUCCCGACCGCGAAUUUUAUUGCCGUCAGAUAAAUUAUAAUCAGCGGUCGAAAUGGAAACUAGGCCUUACUAUUGCUACACGUUAUACCCAAUCGUCAAUUCCUGGAACAAAAAAUCAGUAACUCAACAGGACGGUGGAGGUGAUCGCGUAGGAGGUGGCAAGUUGGCCGAUUGGCGUGAUAGGUGGGACACCACCUCCCACCAUUCGUGGUAAUUCGUGCUCCUGGAGGAAUAUUCGGGAACGCUAAGAAAUCCUUGGCUGCUCUUCAUCCAGUCAACGUCAAAAGCCUAAGGCGCAAACAAGUGCUCCGAUUCCGAGGUAGACUCAGGUCUCUUCAUAGUUUCACGAGUAUUCACGUACCUCGUAGACCAGACUGUACUUACUUUGUAUCUUGUACCUAGAGAUACCAUAGGAGAGGAAGAAGAUGCCGCAGCCAAGCGAAACGACCAAUAUCUUAACCACUUACCUUAUUCUCAUCUUACUAUUGAUCUCCCUUUGGAUCUUGUACGCCGGGAUUUUCUAAAAUGCAACACAUUCCUCGUGAUGGGCUGAGAAUGGAAGAACGGAAAGUCACCGGCUGAAGUCAUGGGAUUCUCAGCAGACGAUGCCACAGAUCGUCGUCGAUCAUCGCGACGUAUCUUAAUGCAAAUCAACUUUAACCUCAUCCAAUAGCAACUAAUAAAUCGUUAAUCAUCGGGAAGAACAACCCCAGCCAAUCAUCGUCAUCGGUCAUCCACCCGCGGCCGGGAGUCAAUCUUUUGUAAUCAAUAUGAUAAUUAAUUAAACUAUACAUGUACAGUGUUAACAUUUAGGUCACAGACCAAGAAGAUCAAACGCUUUUAGCGCGACGACAAAGUCUUGUUGAGAACAAGAAAAAAGAAACAAGACUCCAUUAAAGAAUAUUUUGUUUGUUAA